rnacentral:rRNA from 1 species
GACGGAAGGUGCAAGCGUUGCUCGGAAUCACUGGGCGUAAAGGGUGCGUAGGCGGCUUGGUGGGUCUGGUGUGAAAGCCCCGGGCUCAGCCCGGGAAGGGCACUAGAAACUGCCGAGCUGGAGUGCCGGAGGGGAGAGUGGAAUUCCUGGUGUAGCGGUGAAAUGCGUAGAUAUCAGGAGGAACACCGGUGGCGAAGGCGGCGUCCUGGACCAACACUGACACUGAGGAGCGAAAGCCAGGGGAGCAAACGGG